rnacentral:rRNA from 1 species
GACGAACCGUGCGAACGUUGUUCGGAAUCACUGGGCUUAAAGGGCGCGUAGGCGGGCUGGCAAGUCCGGGGUGAAAGCCCCCAGCUCAACUGGGGAAGCGCCUUGGAUACUGCCAAUCUCGAGGGGGGUAGGGGCGUGCGGAACUUCCGGUGGAGCGGUGAAAUGCGUAGAUAUCGGAAGGAACACCGAUGGCGAAAGCAGCGCGCUGGGCCCCUUCUGACGCUGAGGCGCGAAAGCCAGGGGAGCAAACGGG